UACGUAGGGGGCGAGCGUUGUCCGAAGUUACUGGGCGUAAAGCGCGCGUAGGCGGGGAAGCAAGUCCGCUGUGAAAGCCCGGGGCUCAACCCCGGAGGGUCGGCGGAUACUGUUUUUCUUGAGGGAGGCAGGGAGAAGUGGAAUGGCUGGUGUAGCGGUGAAAUGCGUAGAUAUCAGUCGGAACACCGGUGGCGAAGGCGGCUUCUUGGGCCUUACCUGACGCUGAGGCGCGAAAGCUGGGGGAGCGAACGGG
rnacentral:rRNA from 1 species